GACAUAGGUGGCGAGCGUUAUUCGGAAUUACUAGGCGUAAAGCGAGUGUAGGCGGACUCUUAAGUCUGACGUUAAAUCUCCGGGCUUAACUCGGAGCUGUCGUCGGAUACUGAGAGCCUCGAAUGGGGUAGGGGGCAGGGGAAUUCCCGGUGUAGCGGUGAAAUGCGUAGAUAUCAAGAGGAACACCUGCGGCGAAGGCGGGUUGCUGGGCCGACACUGACGCUGAUGCGCGAAAGCCAGGGGAGCGAACGGG
rnacentral:rRNA from 1 species